CAGUUUUUGUUUUAUAAAAUUGUUAUUUGCAAGUAUUAAUAUAAAUUUUUUCAAUUUUUACAUAGUUUUUAUUUUUUAAUUAUUUAUGUUUUUAAAUUAAAUAAAUUACAAUUAAUAUUUUUUAAAUAUAUUUUAUUUAUUUGUUAAAUAUUUUUUUAUAAAAUUAACUUUGUUUUAUUUUUGAAAAGUGAAUAAUCCAGAGAUAACUAAAUUUAUAUUUAACAAAUAAAUUAUUUAAUUCUUGAUAAAUUUAUAAAUUUAUGAAUAAUUUGUAAAUUUUUAUAAAUUUAUUAUAAUUUUUAUGAUAGUCGUAUGUGUAUAUUUAUUUACUAAGUACUAUUAGGGAAAAAGUAAUUUAAAUUAUUUUUAUUUAGGU
rnacentral:rRNA from 1 species